UGCGCGGGCUCGGGGUGGCCGGGGCCGGGGCCGCGUCACUCCGGGACUGCGCUCUCGGGAGCGCCUCGGCCGGGGAUAGUGGCCCUGCGACUUCCCACCCCCCCGGGGGCAGAGUGACCAGAGCUGCCUGGAGCGUCCCACUCGAGUUAGCGGCCCCGCGCGGGCAGCGCGCCCCGGGCUCUCCCGCCUGUCCUGGGUUUAUACAUUGUCUACACUAUGGUUCUGUGCAAAGUGCCACUCUCCAAACAGAGAGGAAACUGGGUGGAAGACACUGCUCCCCAGGCCAUGUAUGCCCAGAGCACUGACACCAUUCGGCAUCUCUGCUUGUACCUUGGACAAUGGGCACAUUCCUGAAAAAAAGCGUUAGACAUUUCUGAGCCAGCAGUACCUCCAGCACCAUGUGAACACAACAUAUGGCCCACCAGAGCUGCCCAAGAUGCUGUCUUUGCUGGAGAUCACAGGACAGAAACUGUUAAACUUCUCUAGAAUCCAAGGCCACUUGGAGCAGCUGGUCUCGUACAAACCCGAGGGAACAAAGGCAUCCAUUAGGCUUCAUUAGAGUCUAGGUCGCAGUCUACACUCUAUCGACUCUUGGAGGUAUUUGGAUGGGCCCAUCUCUAAUUCCCAAAGAAUGGAAAGCAUCGCUGACCUGGGAAACCCCGGGCUUGUCAGAUAUGUCAUGGGUCUGCUGCUUCAGGAAUUGUGCGUUCAGGAAUUCAAAGAUCUAAUUUAAAACUCAAGAAAACUUUAUCAAGCCCUGUCCCAUGUAUUCCUUGCUGGCUGUAUGCUCCAUUUUCGACUAUGGGGACUUAUUCUACUUGUCUGUAUUAAAUAUUUUGUAUUCCUUUGCAUUUUAUGAUUUCACCCCGAGCCCCUCCUUUGCUAUUUAUUUUCUUAGACAAUGUAUUGCACACACCGUUGUUCAGUGCAUUGCACAUACUCAGCUUAAUGCCUAUAAUACUCGAUUCACUAUUUCUAUAUAUUUAAUGUUACAUUUAAUACAAUAAUUAUUCAUAAAAAGGAAUGGCGGUGCAAUAAUGCUACAGAGCUCUAAGCACAG